AUUGAACGCUGGCGGCAGGCUUAACACAUGCAAGUCGAGCGAGCGGCGGACGGGUGAGUAAUGUCUGGGAAACUGCCUGAUGGAGGGGGAUAACUACUGGAAACGGUAGCUAAUACCGCAUACCAUCCGAUUUGCCCAGAUGGGAUUAGCUAGUAGGUGGGGUAACGGCUCACCUAGGCGACGCUCCCUAGCUGGGCUGAGAGGAUGACCAGACACACUGGAACUGAGACACGGGCCAGACGCCUACGGGAGGCAGCAGUGGGGAAUAUGGCACAAGGGGCGCAAGCCUGAUGCAGCCAUGCGGCGUGUAUGAAGAAGGCCUUCGGGUUGUAAAGUACUUUCAGCGAGGAGGCGUUACUCGCAGAAGAAGCACCGGCUAACUCCGUGCCAGCAGCCGCGGUAAUAC
rnacentral:rRNA from 1 species